rnacentral:rRNA from 1 species
GGAAAAGAAAUUAACAAAGAUUGCCUUAGUAAGGCGACUGAACCGGCAAAAGCUCGAAAUUGGAAUCAGUGAUUCAACGAAUCUCUGAAUUGUAAUCAGGGCAGCCUAAAUACGGCCGCUAGCUCAACAGGAUCGAAAGCCUGGUCAUAGAGGGUGCUAACCCCGUACAGCUAGUGGACGAGUAAGGUUGUUUCCAAAAGAGUCGGGUUGCUUGGAACUGCAGCCCUAAGAGGGAGAUAUGAUUCUUCCAAAGCUAAAUAUGGGUGGGAAACCGAUAGCGAACAAGUACUGUGAAGGAAAGAUGAAAAGGACUUUGAAAAGAGAGUGAAAAGAUCUGAAAUCGUUGAGAAGGAAGCGGUAAAACUGACUGACGUGCUGAAAGAGUAUGAGAUAACCUCUCAGAGAUCUUACCAGAACGUUGGGGCAAAAAUCAAGUUUGUCGUGUCAAAAAAAGGUGCAAGCCGGACAGGGC